GAUGAACGCUGGCGGCGUGCCUAAUACAUGCAAGUCGAGCGAACGGACUAGAAGCUUGCUUCUCUGAUGUUAGCGGCGGACGGGUGAGUAACACGUGGAUAACCUACCUAUAAGACUGGGAUAACUUCGGGAAACCGUAGCUAAUACCGGAUAAUAUUUUGAACCGCAUGGUUCAAAAGUGAAAGACGGUCUUGCUGUCACUUAUAGAUGGAUCCGCGCUGCAUUAGCUAGUUGGUAAGGUAACGGCUUACCAAGGCAACGAUGCAUAGCCGACCUGAGAGGGUGAUCGGCCACACUGGAACUGAGACUCGGUCCAGACUCCUACGGGAGGCAGCAGUAGGGAAUCUUCCGCAAUGGGCGAAAGCCUGACGGAGCAACGCCGCGUGAGUGAUGAAGGUCUUCGGAUCGUAAAACUCUGUUAUUAGGGAAGAACAUAUGUGUAAGUAACUGUGCACAUCUUGACGGCACCUAAUCAGAAAGCCACGGCUAACUACGUG
rnacentral:rRNA from 1 species